GACACGAUGGCCGAAUGGUUCAAGGCAACAAGCUGUUGUGCAGUGCGAGGGAUGAAUCUAUACCUUGGUUCAUGCAGGUCCGAUUCCUGCUUCGCGUCG